rnacentral:rRNA from 1 species
UACGGAGGGGGCUAGCGUUGUCCGGAAUCAUUGGGCGUAAAGAGCGUGUAGGCGGCCCGGUAAGUCCGCUGUAAAAGUCAAAGGCUCAACCUUUGAAUGUCAGUGGAUACUGCCGGGCUAGAGUCCGGAAGAGGCGAGUGGAACUCCUGGUGUAGCGGUGGAAUGCGCAGAUAUCAGGAAGAACACCAACGGCGAAGGCAGCUCGCUGGGACGGUACUGACGCUGAGACGCGAAAGCGUGGGGAGCGAACAGG